rnacentral:lncRNA from 1 species
CUUUAUCAUAAAUGGGUAAAUAUAAGUAAGGUGUUUCCCUGAGUUCUGUGAGCUGUCCUGGCAAACCCUAGGAGGGAUUUGUGGGAACCUCACUUUAGAGCCAGUUUGUCAGAAAUACAGGUCACAGCCAAGAGUUUACAAUUGGCAUCUGAAGUGGGCAGUAGUCUUGUGGGACUGCGGGAUCUAACACUAUCUCCAGGUAGAUAGUGUCAGAUUGAAUUGAAUUAGAGGACAGCUAUCUGGUGUCUGCUAGAGAAUUGCUCAGUAUGUGGAGAAAGCCCCCACCCAUCUGGUGUCAGAAGUAUUGUGUUGAGUGACCGCAUAAGACAGUAAAGAGGGCCAGGCUCAGUGGCUCAUGCCUGUAAUCCCAGCACUUUGGGAGGUUGAGGCAGGCAGACCGUGAGGUCAAGAGAUCGAGACCAUCCUGGCCAAC